CCAAAGUGCUGGGAUUACAGGUGUGAGCCACCGCGCCCGGCCAGAUAGUCUUAAUACUCUUGUGGAAAGUCAGUUGACCACAGAUGUUUAAGUUUAUUUCUGGACUCUCAAUUCUGUUCCAUACAUAUAUAUGUCUAUUCUCUACCAGUAUGAUAUAUUGUUUUGAUUAUUUAGCUUUUUGAAUGCUCUACUUUUAUUACUCCAAAUGUGCUUCUGACUUUUAGUACAUUUUAGUAUAUCAUGAUCAUUAUUUCAUAUUUUCCUUUUUUUGAUGCAAGUACUUCUGUGUGGAUCAUUUGCAUAAUUAGCACACUUGCCAUUUAAGGUAAUUAAGAAGUGUUUGUUUUAUUGCCUUACUGUGCUGUGGUUAGAUUUUCCAGGCUCUUAUUUUCUGAGUUGUUUUUUACUGUUUUAGAAAGACUUGUUUGCACUAUUUCUUCUGGACCCAGACUCAUUCACUACUGAGGCCCACUCCCUUGAUGUCAAAGAAUACUGGCUGCUGUUUUUAGUUCAUCCUCACAGAAACUCAGGCUAUACCUAUCUGCUUCAGCUCAGUGCUGAUACUUCCUGCCAGUUGUGGACUGAACUUCUGAUGCAGAAAGCCUGCUAAGAAAACCUCUUCCUUGAACCAGAGCUUUCCAGAAGUCAAGAGUGGCACUGGCCUUAUGAUCUAUGAUAUGCUUUGUUGUAAAUUACAAUCCCUGAGAUGUCAUACUGAUGAGGAGACACAUGGGAAAGAACCUGUCUUUUAAACCUCUUUCAUGGUGCCAGAACAAGCAUUUAUAAGCACUGUUUCCAUAUGUACUGUACCCUCGUCUUUAGAAAGGAAGAGCCAUCAGAAAUUAUGGGUCUUGUUCAGGGUCAUCCAGUGAUGUCAGAGUGCUGCCAGGAACAGAAUUCAUCCCCCACUCCCAUGGAUUCCUUUGUUGUUAUCAUUACCAAAUGCUCCUUUCCUAUUGGUCAACAGAAAAUAUAUCUCAGUAUUUUUUCCAAGGGAGGUUUUGAAUUUCUUAUUCCCUUUUGGGAAAUCAAGAUGAUUUUCCUCUUCCCCAGUUGGAUUCUGUACCCAUUUCAUUAAAGUCCGUGCUAGAUUUAAUUUUUUUUUUUUUUUUUUUGAGAUGGAGUCUUGCUCUGUCACUAAGGCUGGAGUGCAGUGGCUCGAUCUCAGCUCAGUGCGCGAUCCACCCACCUCGGCCUACAUAAGUGCCGGGAUUACAGGUGUGAGCCAGUGCACCGGGCCUGAUUUAAUGUUUUAUAACAAAACUCUCUAGUCUUUGUGCCUACUGAAAAUUGUUAUGAACUAAAUGAGUUUAAAUUUGCACAAGGUAGAAUUUUGUUUCAGUGAUGAAAGUAGAUGGUUUCAGGUUGAUUUCAUUAACCCACUUUUUUCUGUUUUUUUUUUUUUUUGAGACAGAGUCUCACUCCUCUGUCACCCAGGCUGGAGUGCAGUGGCAUACUCACGCCUCACUGCCGCCUCAACCUCCUGUGCUCAAGCGAUUCUCCCACCUCACCCUCCCGAGUAGCUCAGACUACAGGUGAGUGCCACCAUGCCCAGGUAAUUUUUUUGUAUUUUUUGUAGAGACAGGGUUUUGCCAUGUUGUCCAGACUGGUCUCAAACUCCAGGCUCAAGCAAUCCACUGGACUUGGCCUCCCAAAGUGCUGGGAUUAAAGGCAUGAGUGACCACACCUGGCCAUUAACCCACAUUUAAGAUCCCAAUUUCCAACUCUCCAUUCCCCAUUCCCCCAGCCCCUGGAAACCAUCAUUCUACUCUCUGACUCUAUAGUAUGAAUUUGACUACUCGAGGUAUGGCAUAUAAGUGGGAUCAUACAGUAUUUGUUUUUUGUGACUGGCUAAUUUUACUUAGCAUAAUGUCCUCAAGGUUUAUCUAUGUUGUAGCACGUGUCAGAAUAUCCUCCCUUUUUAUUUGUAUUUUUUUUAUUCGAGACAUGGUCUCACUCUGUCACCCAGGCUGGAGUGCAGUAGCACAAUCUUAGCUCAUUGCAACCUCUGCCUCAGCUAUCCUCCUGCCUCAGCCUCCCAAGGAGCUAG
rnacentral:lncRNA from 10 species